rnacentral:rRNA from 1 species
UACGAAGGGGGCUAGCGUUGUUCGGAUUUACUGGGCGUAAAGCGCACGUAGGCGGAUCGUUAAGUCGGGGGUGAAAUCCUGGAGCUCAACUCCAGAACUGCCUUCGAUACUGGCGAUCUUGAGUCCGGAAGAGGUGAGUGGAACUCCUAGUGUAGAGGUGGAAUUCGUAGAUAUUAGGAAGAACACCAGUGGCGAAGGCGGACUCACUGGUCCGGUACUGACGCUGAGGUGCGAAAGCGUGGGGAGCAAACAGGG